rnacentral:rRNA from 1 species
GAUGAGCGCUGGCGGCGUGCCUAAUACAUGCAAGUCGAGCGAACGGACGAGAAGCUUGCUUCUCUGAUGUUAGCGGCGGACGGGUGAGUAACACGUGGAUAACCUACCUAUAAGACUGGGAUAACUUCGGGAAACCGGAGCUAAUACCGGAUAAUAUUUUGAACCGCAUGGUUCAAAAGUGAAAGACGGUCUUGCUGUCGCUUAUAGAUGGAUCCGCGCUGCAUUAGCUAGUUGGUAAGGUAACGGCUUACCAAGGCAACGAUGCAUAGCCGACCUGAGAGGGUGAUCGGCCACACUGGAACUGAGACACGGUCCAGACUCCUACGGGAGGCAGCAGUAGGGAAUCUUCCGCAAUGGGCGAAAGCCUGACGGAGCAACGCCGCGUGAGUGAUGAAGGUCUUCGGAUCGUAAAACUCUGUUAUUAGGGAAGAACAUAUGUGUAAGUAACUGUGCACAUCUUGACGGUACCUAAUCAGAAAGCCACGGCUAACUACGUG